rnacentral:rRNA from 1 species
CCUACGGGUGGCAGCAGUGGGGGAUAUUGCACAAUGGGGGAAACCCUGAUGCAGCGACGCCGCGUGGGUGAAGAAGCGCCUCGGCGCGUAAAGCCCUGUCAGCAGGGAAGAAAAUGACGGUACCUUAAGAAGACGCCCCGGCUAACUACGUGCCAGCAGCCGCGGUAAUACGUAGGGGGCAAGCUUUAUCCGGAUGUACCGGGGGUAAAGGGGGCGCAGACGGCGAUGCAAGCCAGGAGUGAAAGCCCGGGGCCCAACCCCGGAACUGCACUUGGAACUGCGUGGCUAGAGUGCAGGAGGGGCAGGCGGAAUUGCUGGUGUAGCGGUGAAAUGCGUAGAUAUCAGGAGGAACACCGGUGGCGAAGGCGGCCUGCUGGACUGCAACUGACGUUGAGGCCCGAAAGCGUGGGGAGCAAACAGGAUUAGAUACCCUAGUAGUC